UACAUGGGGUGCAAACGUUGCUCGGAAUUAUUGGGCGUAAAGCGCGCGCAGGUGGUUUCUUAAGUCUGAUGUGAAAGCCCACGGCUCAACCGUGGAGGGUCAUUGGAAACUGGGGAACUUGAGUGCAGAAGAGGAAAGUGGAAUUCCAAGUGUAGCGGUGAAAUGCGUAGAGAUUUGGAGGAACACCAGUGGCGAAAGGCGACUUUCUGGUCUGUAACUGACACUGAGGCGCGAAAGCGUGGGGAGCGAACAGG
rnacentral:rRNA from 1 species